GUUGGGAAUCUUGCGCAAUGGGGGAAACCCUGACGCAGCGACGCCGUGUGGGGGAGGAAGGCCUUCGGGUUGUAAACCCCUUUUCUCGGAGAAGAACGCUCGAAGCUAAACCCUUCGGGCCUGACGGUAUCCGAGGAAUAAGCCCCGGCUAACUCCGUGCCAGCAGCCGCGGUAAGACGGAGGGGGCAAGCGUUGUCCGGAAUUACUGGGCGUAAAGGGCGCGUAGGCGGGGCUGUAAGUCGGCGGUGAAAGGUCCACAGCUCAACUGGGACACUGCCGCCGAGACUGCGGCCCUUGAGUACGGGAGAGGGAAGUGGAAUGGCUGGUGUAGCGGUGAAAUGCGUAGAGAUCAGCCAGAACACCCGUGGCGAAGGCGGCUUCCUGGACCGAGACUGACGCUGAGGCGCGAAAGCUAGGGGAGCGAACGGGAUUAGAAACCCUUGUAGUCC
rnacentral:rRNA from 1 species